CCUAUAAGGCGGGGCCGGCCCCAAAAGAAGAAAACAACCCUGAUCCUCCCCGCAGAUCCUUCUUGCCACCUACUCUCCGUGCCCGCCGCCGCCCGACCUCCUACCCACUGCGCCGCUGCCCGGCCUCCUCCCAGCGCGCCGCCGGCCGGCCUCCUCCCAGCGCGCCUCCGGCCGGCCUCCCCACAACCGAGCCACCGCUCGGCCUUCUCCUCGAGUGCGCUGCCGCCUGGCCCUCUCCCCAUCGCCGGCAGCGUCUCCAUUCUGCUCCGGCCGCCUCUCUCCCUCCGACCCCUAUAGGCGCACGCGCGACGCAGCUUCGCGAAUCCAACCCACUUCCCGAUCCCAUCUCCUCCUACAGCGAGCCACCACCGCCGUCCGCCGCCACCCCAUGCCCCGCCGCUGCACGCCGCCACCCCUCGCCCCGCCGUCGCGUGCCGCCAGCCCACUUCCCGUUCCUACGCAUGCUGUUGUGAGGUACGAGGCGGAGGACAGACCGGCGACACACGCGCUAGGGAUGCAGAGGACAGGCACAACGGCGACGCAAGGUGGUGGUCAUGGCGGUGAUGCGCCUGUGCGUCGCCCAAUCCCCUGCUGACCGCCGCUCGAAGUUGCCCUCCACGCCGCCGACUCAUCGCCGGCGCGGCCCCCCUGCUUCCUCCCGUGUGGCCUUCUUCCUCAGUUUGCUACUGACUCAUCGGUCGUUCUUCUUCGCCAACACCUGAAGAUCAAGCUAAAUUCGAGAGAGAGAAAAUUAGUUCACCUUUGUGUGUUUUUUCAGAUCAUCUUACAUGUUAAGCACCAAACCGACACCGCGGCUUCUGCUGCUGGUGCUAGUGUGGAUGUUAGCAAGUUCAACUACCAGUCUACGCCGAGUUCAGGUACAUUGUCGUCGACGGCCAAGUUCAGGGAUGCCUCUGUGCCUAAGGCAAGUUGACGCACUUUAACCAGUUCUUUGUAAUAGUCCUAUUUAUUGCUUUGAUCUUGUACAGCAAGGUGAGAACAUAUCUAUUGAUCUGACAUGUUAAUUAGGGAUUUAGUUUUCUCUCGUUCUUCUAGGGGAAUUAACCUUGGGCGGUGGGUAGCACAUAAAAUGCAUGCCCGCCAUAUGUUCGCUAUAUUGCUGCAGUAGGAUUUUAGAUUUUUCGUUCUACCUUGGAUGCACUGAAUACGUGACAUGUUGUGAAAUAAUUAAGUACGGAAUUCUGAGGCUGUAUGAUCUAUUAACAACAUGAAUUGCAUUUUUUGCAUCCUUACUGGAUGCUAAGGAUGGCUAGAUUAUAUUUGGCAUUAGCACCAUCGGUGUGUAUGCAAAAUCCUCUUUUUUCUCAAUUAUGGUACUCUUGCUGUAUACACAUGGUAUGACUAUUCUGAAAAAUUUAAAAUUAUAAAAGCAGAUAAGUUCACGGGUUCACCGGUGGAAGUUCAAGGAAUAAAAAGAUCAAAGAAAAGGAGUGUUCAGUAAAUGGUAGUACUGUCUGCUGUUGGCUGAUGUCUCCUGUUGCCUGAAGCCCCUGCUGCUUGCUAGCUACUUGUUGUGCGUGCGUGUUUGUGUGCUGCUGCUGUUUGUUGCUGCAUCAGGGUGAUGUGAGAGAGAUAGAUAGAUAGCAAGUGGAAUGAUCUUCCACAUUGACUAACUCGUGACACACUUGGUUCAGUUUCUAAAUUUAAUCUAGUUCAAUUAGAAUUUUAAUACAGUUCAAAGACUGUUGCUGUUUAUCUCCUUGAUGUUCAGUUUUGUGUUC